GACGAAGGAUGCAAGCGUUAUCCGGAUUCAUUGGGUUUAAAGGAUGCGUAGGCGGCCAGAUAAGUCAGUGGUGAAAUCCUGUUGCUUAACAACAGAACUGCCAUUGAUACUGUUUGGCUUGAGUAUAGUUGCUGUGGGCGGAAUAUGACAUGUAGUGGUGAAAUACAUAGAGAUGUCAUAGAACACCGAUUGCGAAGGCAGCUCACAAAACUAUAACUGACGCUGAGACGCGAAAGCGUGGGGAGCAAACAG
rnacentral:rRNA from 1 species